AGCUUUGUGCAGGGGCAGUAUCACAGUCAAUGAGGUUUAUCCGAGGUGCGCUUAUUGCUAAUUAUUCUCAGAUGAGAGGCAGUAAAAGUAGAAGCUGAUUCUCCAGCACUCUUUUUAAAAAG
rnacentral:snRNA from 1 species